CCCCCCCCUCCCCAAAACGCGACUCUUGGAGGAUCGCUCGGGCUCAAUGAAGUAAUAAGAAAGGCGGCGGAGCGCGGCUGGGCCCGCGCCAGGGGGGAGGGGGAGAGCCCCGCUCCGGUCCCGAGGAGAGGAGGAAGAGCGGCGGAUGGUUGCUGCGCGAGUUCUCGCUCUUGCCUGCAGUACCAUGAGAAUCUUCAUCAUUAAAAAAUAGGAGUAAGACCAGCUUCAUUUAACUUGACUAAAGUUAUCAUACAGGUGUGGGAGAGGCCAUGAGUGGGAAUAAUCUAAAAUAAUUUGACUUUCGAAAGAUUAAAAUCUUCAAAACUAUUUUAACAAUCGAUGCUUGACAUUGCAAAUCAUUCUUUUCCUUUUAAGUCUGGAGAUCUAAGCAAAUUUAAAUCUGAAUUAUGAUAUUGUUCAUUUUAUCGCACACAUAUUAUUCCAUAUGUUUUGUUAUGAUGCUGCAGGAGGAUAAAAUUACUGCCAACUUUUCAAAAUGGGCCCAGAGUCAAACACACACCAUCAAAAUUGUAGAGAAACGAGAAUUUGACUUGCAUCUCAUGGUAACUUCUCAUAGAAUCAUCCGAG
ensembl:lncRNA